GUUUUAAUAGUUUAUAAAAACAUUGGUUUUGUAAAUCAAAGAAAAAGAAAUUUUUAAAACU
rnacentral:tRNA from 1 species